rnacentral:rRNA from 1 species
CCGCCAGACUCCUACGGGAGGCAGCAGUGAGGAAUAUUGGUCAAUGGUCGGGAGACUGAACCAGCCAAGCCGCGUGAGGGAGGAAGGUACAGAGUAUCGUAAACCUCUUUUGUCAGGGAACAAAGGCGGGGACGUGUCCCCGGAUGAGUGUACCUGAAGAAAAAGCAUCGGCUAACUCCGUGCCAGCAGCCGCGGUAAUACGGAGGAUGCGAGCGUUAUCCGGAUUUAUUGGGUUUAAAGGGUGCGUAGGCGGGAGAUCAAGUCAGCGGUAAAAAUGCGGGGCCCAACCCCGUCGAGCCGUUGAAACUGGCAGUCUCGAGUUGGAGAGAAGUACGCGGAAUGCGCGGUGUAGCGGUGAAAUGCUUAGAUAUCGCGCAGAACCCCGAUUGCGAAGGCAGCGUACCGGCUCCACACUGACGCUGAGGCACGAAAGCGUGGGUAUCGAACAGGAUUAGAUACCCCGGUAA